GACAGAGGGAGCCCGACUCCCGUGCCUCCGGCAUGAGGAAAGUCCCCCCACCGGCCGGACGGGCGACCGGGCACACGCCCGGAGUCGGAGACGGCUGGCGCUGGAACAGCAACGACACCCCCCGCCUCGACCGAUGAUCCGCGCGAACCGACCCGCGAGGGAAGGGAGUUAACCCGGAGAGGGAGCGUGGCUCUGCCACGACAUGGACGGGCGGGAACGGAUGGAACGGCGAAUCCUCGCCGGUGCAAGUCCGUGCCACAAGGUAGUCCGGCCACGGCGCGGACGCUCAGCCGAAUGUCGGGACGAACCGAAGGGGGCUUACUCCCCUCAGUC
rnacentral:RNase_P_RNA from 1 species